rnacentral:rRNA from 1 species
UACGGAGGGUGCAAGCGUUAAUCGGAAUUACUGGGCGUAAAGCGCACGCAGGCGGUUUGUUAAGUCAGAUGUGAAAUCCCCGGGCUCAACCUGGGAACUGCAUCUGAUACUGGCAAGCUUGAGUCUCGUAGAGGGGGGGUAGAAUUCCAGGUGUAGCGGUGAAAUGCGUAGAGAUCUGGAGGAAUACCGGUGGCGAAGGCGGCCCCCUGGACGAAGACUGACGCUCAGGUGCGAAAGCGUGGGGAGCAAACAGG